rnacentral:rRNA from 1 species
UACGUAGGGGGGCAAGCGUUGUCCGGAUUUAUUGGGCGUAAAAGAGCUUGUAGGCGGUUUUGUCGCGUCUGCUGUGAAAAUCCGGGGCUCAACCCCGGACUUGCAGUCGAUACGGGCAGACUAGAGUGCGGUAGGGGAGACUGGAAUUCCUGGUGUAGCGGUGAAAUGCGCAGAUAUCAGGAGGAACACCGGUGGCGAAGGCGGGUCUCUGGGCCGAUACUGACGCUGAGGAGCGAAAGCGUGGGGAGCGAACAGG